GAUCAUGGCUCAGAUUGAACGCUGGCGGCAUGCCUUACACAUGCAAGUCGAACGGCAGCACGGGAGCUUGCUCCUGGUGGCGAGUGGCGAACGGGUGAGUAAUACAUCGGAACGUACCCUGAAGUGGGGGAUAACGUAGCGAAAGUUACGCUAAUACCGCAUAUUCUGUGAGCAGGAAAGAGGGGGAUCGCAAGACCUCUUGCUUUAGGAGCGGCCGAUGUCGGGUUAGCUAGUUGGUGAGGUAAAGGCUCACCAAGGCGACGAUCCGUAGCGGGUCUGAGAGGAUGAUCCGCCGCACUGGGACUGAGACACGGCCCAGACUCCUACGGGAGGCAGCAGUGGGGAAUUUUGGACAAUGGGCGCAAGCCUGAUCCAGCCAUGCCGCGUGAGUGAAGAAGGCCUUCGGGUUGUAAAGCUCUUUCGGUGGGGAAGAAAUUGCACAGGAUAAUACCUUGUGUAGAUGACGGUACCCGCAUAAGAAGCACCGGCUAACUACGUG
rnacentral:rRNA from 1 species